UUGGAGAGACUUGUUCUGGAGAUUCCUUUCCUGGCUUGAAGGAGACUUUUUCCCUGGAUCCUGUGUUGGCUUGUGUGGCUGAGAUUCCUACCUUGUGUAGUAGAUAUCGCUACUAGGGGAAUUAUGGCAAUAGGAAAAUGUUAGAGCAGUAACACCAGGAAGCAAGCUAGGGGCAAGACUGGAUCUUGGGCCCCUCCCCCUACACUACUUCCUGUUCCCUUUCAACUGUCUUGGAAAUGUUCUUCUCAGAAAUGGAGCGAUUUCUGAUUUAUCCGUGGAAGAGAACGUUCUUUUCCCCAUCCUCCAUACCAUACCUGACUGGAAUUGUAGCAUUUGAGCCCCAGCAGCUCUGAUGGAGGAACCAAGCCCUGGAGAUGGCUGCAGUGCAAUAUCAGAAAACGAAGAUCCCAGAGAGGUGAUGCACCUACUAAAUGAGAGUUGGGACUCAAAUGGACGUCUUCUCAUUCCAAGUACAGUGCUCUUGCUGCUGUAACAUCCGAUCCCAAAUCUGAACUGCUCUUUCUGGUUUUCCUAACGGACCUCCCUCCAUCCCACCACACUUUGCCCCCAUCCUCAUCAUUUACCACACUGACUCACUACUGCUUGAUCUAACUUCUGCUCUUCAAACAGACUCUGCUCAUUGUCCAAAGACUCUUAUUCUCACUUUUAGUGUUUGUUGUUCCCUCGUCACAAGUGUUUUCUAUUUCUUCUCCAUUUGUCCAUCUCUAUCCUUCAAAGACUAAACUAGUUCCAGGCUUAACUUCUCCUUGCAUCUGUCCCUUGCUAUGCUCACACCUUUUGUCCCUUCUCUGCUUAUUGUACUCGUCGUCUUUAUUAUCCCUUAAGAAAUACAUUCCAAAUGGGAUAAUAUAUGGAAAGGUCUAUGCAAAGCUUAUAGAAUUGUAUAAAUACCAGUUAUAAAUAUUAAAGACUUCUUUC